rnacentral:rRNA from 1 species
AUGACAGUGGAGGUGCCUUCUGCCAAGCAUUGGCUGUUUACUCUGAAGGAAACACUCGAGCACGACAUGUUUGUAUUGCUAUCGGUCACUCUAUGGGCCAUCUGGUCGGCCAGGCGGAAGGUACUACACGAGGGGAUUUUUCAAAGCCCACAAUCCACUCAAGCAUUUAUACGCAGGUUCAUUGAUGAUCUACAUAUAGUACAAGGUCAGCAGAGAACACCAGCAGUUCGGGCAAAUGUAACCCCUAUCUCUACCCUACCAAGGGCCAAGGCACCACCACAGGGCUACGCCAAGAUCCAUGUUGAUGCCGCAGUUAGGCAUGAGCGAGGUGGAGCAGCGGCAGCGGUAUGCAGGGAUGACAGAGGAAAUUAUCUGGGAAGCUCGGCGUUGGUCGUUUUUGGUGUGUGCAACCCAACCACACUGGAAGCAAUGGCGUGCAGGGAGGCAUUUGCACUCGCAGAGGACCUGAACUUGAUGAACUGCGUGAUAUCAACCGACUGCAAGCAAAUGGUGACUGACAUCUCCAAAGGAACUUUGGGGGCGCAUGGGGCAAUUAUUAACGAGAUCAGGGCAAAAGCCACUUCUUUCAAUUCCGUUUUCAUAUUCGAGGGUCGUGCUGUUAAUUAUGAGGCACAUAGGUUAGCUCAUUUUUCUAUUUCUCAGGGUUUGGGCCGCCACGUCUGGUUUGGCACCCCCCAUGACCUUCGUUGUAUCCCACAUCAUGUGGAUUUUGGUGAUGAAUAA